AGAUGUAGCUCAGUGGUAGAGCAAUUGCUUAGCAUGCACAAGGACGGGGUUUGAUCCCCAGCACUG
rnacentral:tRNA from 1 species